CUCUUGUUUAAUAAAAUAUCCCAGAGAUGCCAACCCUUAAUCUAAGGAAAACGGAGUCAUGACUGAAAGCCAGCCCUGAGCACCAAAGGUGAGAGUUGG